rnacentral:rRNA from 1 species
ACGAACGCUGGCGGCGUGCCUAAUACAUGCAAGUAGAACGCUGAAGAGAGGAGCUUGCUCUUCUUGGAUGAGUUGCGAACGGGUGAGUAACGCGUAGGUAACCUGCCUUGUAGCGGGGGAUAACUAUUGGAAACGAUAGCUAAUACCGCAUAACAAUGGAUGACACAUGUCAUUUAUUUGAAAGGGGCAAUUGUUCCACUACAAGAUGGACCUGCGUUGUAUUAGCUAGUAGGUGAGGUAAUGGCUCACCUAGGCGACGAUACAUAGCCGACCUGAGAGGGUGAUCGGCCACACUGGGACUGAGACACGGCCCAGACUCCUACGGGAGGCAGCAGUAGGGAAUCUUCGGCAAUGGGGGCAACCCUGACCGAGCAACGCCGCGUGAGUGAAGAAGGUUUUCGGAUCGUAAAGCUCUGUUGUAAGUCAAGAACGGGUGUGAGAGUGGAAAGUUCACACUGUGACGGUAGCUUACCAGAAAGGGACGGCUAACUACGUGCCAGCAGCCGCGGUAAUACGUAGGUCCCGAGCGUUGUCCGGAUUUAUUGGGCGUAAAGCGAGCGCAGGCGGUUUGAUAAGUCUGAAGUUAAAGGCUGUGGCUCAACCAUAGUUCGCUUUGGAAACUGUCAAACUUGAGUGCAGAAGGGGAGAGUGGAAUUCCAUGUGUAGCGGUGAAAUGCGUAGAUAUAUGGAGGAACACCGGUGGCGAAAGCGGCUCUCUGGUCUGUAACUGACGCUGAGGCUCGAAAGCGUGGGGAGCGAACAGGAUUAGAUACCCUGGUAGUCCACGCCGUAAACGAUGAGUGCUAGGUGUUGGAUCCUUUCCGGGAUUCAGUGCCGCAGCUAACGCAUUAAGCACUCCGCCUGGGGAGUACGACCGCAAGGUUGAAACUCAAAGGAAUUGACGGGGGCCCGCACAAGCGGUGGAGCAUGUGGUUUAAUUCGAAGCAACGCGAAGAACCUUACCAGGUCUUGACAUCCCGAUGCUAUUUCUAGAGAUAGAAAGUUACUUCGGUACAUCGGUGACAGGUGGUGCAUGGUUGUCGUCAGCUCGUGUCGUGAGAUGUUGGGUUAAGUCCCGCAACGAGCGCAACCCCUAUUGUUAGUUGCCAUCAUUCAGUUGGGCACUCUAGCGAGACUGCCGGUAAUAAACCGGAGGAAGGUGGGGAUGACGUCAAAUCAUCAUGCCCCUUAUGACCUGGGCUACACACGUGCUACAAUGGUUGGUACAACGAGUUGCGAGUCGGUGACGGCGAGCUAAUCUCUUAAAGCCAAUCUCAGUUCGGAUUGUAGGCUGCAACUCGCCUACAUGAAGUCGGAAUCGCUAGUAAUCGCGGAUCAGCACGCCGCGGUGAAUACGUUCCCGGGCCUUGUACACACCGCCCGUCACACCAUGGGAGUUGGAAAUGCCCGAAGUCAGUGACCCAACCGCAAGGAGGGAGCUGCCGAAGGUGGAGCCGAUAACUGGGGUG